rnacentral:lncRNA from 1 species
UCCACAAUUUAUACAUUCGAGAGAUUAAUAAUAAAAUUUAACCUUACUUUUUCAUUCCGUAAUCUAUUUGUUUCGAUGAAAGACUAAAGAAAUGCAAAAAUGCAUCUCAUUAAAGAAAAGUAAUACAAUGUUAUUGUACAGCCCAAAUUUUGCCCGGGCCCAAAACCCAUUACCAGCCCAACAAAUACAAACCCAACAGACCCAAGUUACCAGCCCAAAUCUAAAACCUAUCACACCCAAAAAAAUAAAACCCUAAAGGCCCAACAGGCCCAAACACCUAAAACAUUUUAAAAAAAAACCCUAGCCACCUAACCACUAGCCGCCGCACCUAGCCCCUAACAGCCCUGCCACCGCCAACUGCUCUGCUGCCGCCGCACCAACUCUUUCUGCCACCACCAUGCCUGCUUCAACCACUCAUCUGUAGGGAAAUAACAACAAAUAUAGAAAAUUAUUGUAAAAAUGGCUAUAAAGCCAUUCAAACCAAUGUAAAAAGGGGGUUUUUUGGAAACAAGAACAGAUUCAAAAACGCAAAGAGAUCCAUUCCUAAAGGGAUUUCAGUUUCUAUUACUUUGUUCUCUACUUUUUUGAUACACAAAUAACUAAAAAGAAUAGAUCUGAAAAGCGGACAUUUCAAGGUGAUUUUCAUUUGUUUUUUUUUCAUACUCAUCUAAUCUUAUUCUUAUUUUUUUAUUUCUUUUUUCCGAAGAAUAGUUUAUUAGCAUAAAAUAUAAAAAAAUAAAAAAAUUUAACUUUUUUACUUUUCCGGCCACCGCGUGCGGUAGCCGGCUCGGCCGACGUGUCGGCCCUGUUCGCCGAUUUCUGGGACCUGGCCGGAUGCUUGAGAGAAAAAAAGGAAGGUUUUUGAGUUUUUUUUUCUAAAGAACGGC